rnacentral:rRNA from 1 species
UACGUAGGGGGCAAGCGUUGUCCGGAUUUAUUGGGCGUAAAGAGCGUGUAGGCGGCCAGGUAGGUCAGCUGUGAAAACUCGAGGCUCAACCUCGAGACGCCGGUUGAAACCAUCUGGCUAGAGUCCGGAAGAGGAGAGUGGAAUUCCUGGUGUAGCGGUGAAAUGCGCAGAUAUCAGGAAGAACACCCGUGGCUAAGGCGGCUCUCUAGUACGGUACUGACGCUGAGGCGCGAAGGCGUGGGGAGCGAACGGG